ACGGGAGGCAGCAGUAGGGAAUCUUCGGCAAUGGACGAAAGUCUGACCGAGCAACGCCGCGUGAGUGAAGAAGGUUUUCGGAUCGUAAAACUCUGUUGUUAGAGAAGAACAAGGAUGAGAGUAACUGUUCAUCCCUUGACGGUAUCUAACCAGAAAGCCACGGCUAACUACGUGCCAGCAGCCGCGGUAAUACGUAGGUGGCAAGCGUUGUCCGGAUUUAUUGGGCGUAAAGCGAGCGCAGGCGGUUUCUUAAGUCUGAUGUGAAAGCCCCCGGCUCAACCGGGGAGGGUCAUUGGAAACUGGGAGACUUGAGUGCAGAAGAGGAGAGUGGAAUUCCAUGUGUAGCGGUGAAAUGCGUAGAUAUAUGGAGGAACACCAGUGGCGAAGGCGGCUCUCUGGUCUGUAACUGACGCUGAGGCUCGAAAGCGUGGGGAGCAAACAGGAUUAGAUACCCUGGUAGUCCACGCCGUAAACGAUGAGUGCUAAGUGUUGGAGGGUUUCCGCCCUUCAGUGCUGCAGCUAACGCAUUAAGCACUCCGCC
rnacentral:rRNA from 1 species